rnacentral:rRNA from 1 species
AGCUUGCUUUUCAAAACUUAGCGGCGGACGGGUGAGUAACACGUGGGCAACCUGCCCUUGAGACGGGGAUAACUCCGGGAAACCGGAGCUAAUACCGGAUAACACAUAUCUUCGCAUGAGGAUAUGUUAGAAGGUGGCUUUUAGCUACCACUCAAGGAUGGGCCCGCGGCGCAUUAGCUAGUUGGUGAGGUAACGGCUCACCAAGGCGACGAUGCGUAGCCGACCUGAGAGGGUGAUCGGCCACACUGGGACUGAGACACGGCCCAGACUCCUACGGGAGGCAGCAGUAGGGAAUCUUCCGCAAUGGACGAAAGUCUGACGGAGCAACGCCGCGUGAGUGAUGAAGGUUUUCGGAUCGUAAAGCUCUGUUGUUAGGGAAGAACAAGUAUCUGUUGAAUAAGCAGGUACCUUGACGGUACCUAACCAGAAAGCCACGGCUAACUACGUGCCAGCC